GGAAUUGACGGGGCCGCACAAGCGUGGAGUAUGUGGUUUAAUUCGACGCAACGCGAAGAACCUUUACCAGGUCUUGACAUCUCCUGAUGCGCUUACGAAAGUAAGUUUUCUUCUUUGGAAGACAGGAAGACAGGUGGUGCAUGGUUGUCGUCAGCUCGUGUCGUGAGAUGUUGGGUUAAGUCCCGCAACGAGCGCAACCCCUACGUUUAGUUGCUAACGCGUGAAGGCGAGCACUCUAGACGAACUGCCGUUGACAAAACGGAGGAAGGUGGGGAUGACGUCAAAUCAUCAUGCCCCUUAUGUUCUGGGCUACACACGUGCUACAAUGGCCGGUACAGACGGACGCAAAGCCGCGAGGUGGAGCAAAUCCUAAAAAGCCGGUCUCAGUUCGGAUUGCAGGCUGCAAUUCGCCUGCAUGAAGUCGGAAUCGCUAGUAAUCGCAGGUCAGCAUACUGCGGUGAAUACGUUCCCGGGCCUU
rnacentral:rRNA from 1 species